rnacentral:rRNA from 1 species
CUUGGUCAUUUAGAGGAAGUAAAAGUCGUAACAAGGUCUCCGUUGGUGAACCAGCGGAGGGAUCAUUACCGAGUUUACAACUCCCAAACCCAAUGUGAACGUUACCAAACUGUUGCCUCGGCGGGGUCACGCCCCGGGUGCGUCGCAGCCCCGGAACCAGGCGCCCGCCGGAGGAACCAACCAAACUCUUUCUGUAGUCCCCUCGCGGACGUAUUUCUUACAGCUCUGAGCAAAAAUUCAAAAUGAAUCAAAACUUUCAACAACGGAUCUCUUGGUUCUGGCAUCGAUGAAGAACGCAGCGAAAUGCGAUAAGUAAUGUGAAUUGCAGAAUUCAGUGAAUCAUCGAAUCUUUGAACGCACAUUGCGCCCGCCAGUAUUCUGGCGGGCAUGCCUGUCCGAGCGUCAUUUCAACCCUCGAACCCCUCCGGGGGAUCGGCGUUGGGGAUCGGGACCCCUCACACGGGUGCCGGCCCCGAAAUACAGUGGCGGUCUCGCCGCAGCCUCUCCUGCGCAGUAGUUUGCACAACUCGCACCGGGAGCGCGGCGCGUCCACGUCCGUAAAACACCCAACUUUCUGAAAUGUUGACCUCGGAUCAGGUAGGAAUACCCGCUGAACUUAAGCAUAUCAAUAAGCGGAGGAA